GUCUAUGUAGCUUAGCUGGUAGAACACCCGACUAUGGAGCGGUAAGCACUCGGGUUCGAGCCCCGCUGAAGGCA